GACGAGCGCUGGCGGCGUGCUUAACACAUGCAAGUCGAACGGAAAGGCCCUGCUUUUGUGGGGUGCUCGAGUGGCGAACGGGUGAGUAACACGUGAGUAACCUGCCCUUGACUUUGGGAUAACUUCAGGAAACUGGGGCUAAUACCGGAUAGGAGCUCCUGCUGCAUGGUGGGGGUUGGAAAGUUUCGGCGGUUGGGGAUGGACUCGCGGCUUAUCAGCUUGUUGGUGGGGUAGUGGCUUACCAAGGCUUUGACGGGUAGCCGGCCUGAGAGGGUGACCGGCCACAUUGGGACUGAGAUACGGCCCAGACUCCUACGGGAGGCAGCAGUGGGGAAUAUUGCACAAUGGGCGGAAGCCUGAUGCAGCAACGCCGCGUGCGGGAUGACGGCCUUCGGGUUGUAAACCGCUUUCGCCUGUGACGAAGCGUGAGUGACGGUAAUGGGUAAAGAAGCUCCGGCUAACUACGUG
rnacentral:rRNA from 1 species